GUUUGAUCCUGGCUCAGAACGAACGCUGGCGGCGUGGAUUAGGCAUGCAAGUCGAACGAGGAUAUAUCCUUCGGGAUAUAAGCCGAGUGGCGCAAGGGUGAGUAAUGCAUAGAUUACCUGCCUCUAGGAUAAGGACAACUUUGUGAAAACGAAGCUAAUACUUAAUAAUACAAAAGAAAAUAAUUUUCUUUUGUCAAUGGGAGGGUAGCAAUACCUUUUGCCUAGAGAGGGGUUUAUGUCCUAUCAGCUUGUUGGUGGGGUAAUGGCCUACCAAGGCGAAGACGGGUAGCCGGUCUUAGAGGAUGGUCGGCCACACUGGGACUGAGACACUGCCCAGACUUCUACGGAAGGCUGCAGUCGAGAAUCUUUCGCAAUGCCCGAAAGGGUGACGAAGCGACGCCGCGUGGGUGAGGAAGGCCUUCGGGUUGUAAAGCCCUGUCAGGAGUUAAGAAAUGUAAGUGUGUUAAUACCACAUUUAUUUGACGAAGGCUCCAAAGGAAGUCACGGCUAACUCUGUGCCAGCAGCCGCGGUAAUACAGAGGUGGCAAGCGUUGUUCGGAAUUAUUGGGCGUAAAGAGCACGUAGGUGGGUUUGUAAGUCAGAUGUGAAAGCCUUCUGUUCAACGGAAGAAUUGCAUCUGAAACUACAAGUCUUGAGUGUAGGAGGGGAGAAUGGAACUUCUGGUGGAGCGGUGAAAUGCGUAGAUAUCAGAAGGAACGCCGGCGGCGAAAGCGAUUCUCUGGCCUAUUACUGACACUCAGUGUGCGAAAGCUAGGGGAGCAAACGGGAUUAGAUACCCCGGUAGUCCUAGCCGUAAACGAUGGGCACUAAGUAGAGGGAAUUACCGAUGUUCUCUCUGCCGUAGCUAACGCAUUAAGUGCCCCGCCUGGGGAGUACGGCCGCAAGGCUAAAACUCAAAGGAAUUGACGGGGGC
rnacentral:rRNA from 1 species